CCUACGGGGGGCAGCAGUAGGGAAUAUUGCACAAUGGGCGCAAGCCUGAUGCAGCAACGCCGCGUGCGCGACGAAGGCCUUCGGGUCGUAAAGCGCUUUUCGGGGAGAUGAGCACGGACAGUAUCCCCGGAAGAAGGAUCGGCUAACUACGUGCCAGCAGCCGCGGUAAAACGUAGGAUCCGAGCGUUAUCCGAAUUCACUGGGCGUAAAGCGCAUGCAGGCGGCCGCACAAGUUGGAUGUGAAAUCUCCCGGCUCAACUGGGAGGGGACGUUCAAAACUGUGCGGCUCGAGGGCGGUAG
rnacentral:rRNA from 1 species